GCAAAAACAUGUUCACUUAUACAAGUAUAUUUUUAGGCUUAUCCAAACAUGCACCAACUCCAGCCACCCAAUUCUUUUUCCUACGUACAUUCCCCAAUUCUCUGAAGAAAACAUUGAAACCUAUCCUAAAUACGCUCUACACAUAUCUUUUGCUGUCAUAGAGGUUUUCUUGUUAGAAUCAAGAAAAUGGGUAAUGAUGAAUUGAUAUUGUUAAGUUACUGGCCAAGCAUGUUUGGAGCCAGGGUCAGAAUUGCAUUGGAAGAGAAGGGACUCAAUUAUGAGUACAGAGGAGAGGAUUUGCCAAAUAAUAAAUCUCCUCUGUUGCUCGAAAUGAACCCGGUUUACAAGAAAAUUCCGGUUUUGAUUCACAAUGGGAAACCAAUUUGUGAAUCGAAUAUUAUAGUUCAAUACAUUGAUGAGGUUUGGAAUGAUAAAGCUCCACUUCUGCCCUCUGAUCCUUAUGAAAAAGCUCAAGCUAGGUUUUGGGCUGAUUAUAUUGAUAAGGUGAGUAAUCUCCUCACACCCAUACCCAUUAAUAAGGAUUAUUUAUUUAUUUAUUUAUUUUUUUGCUGGGCUGCUUAUUUUCUUUGCUGUUUGAACCAUAUUUGGUCUUCAUAGAACUUUAAUGAAUCUGUGCUGUGUAAAUCAGUUCACCUGUGCUAUAUGUACAUAAUAAUUUACAUUACAUGAUGUGGUGAGAUAUGAUUCGAUGAGAAUUUCUUCAAUCAACUGGAAAAAAAAAAAAAAAAAUUCUCUACUUUGUUUUCAAGUUUAUUCUAACCCGAUACUGCUAGCCUUAACCGCCCAGGCUUAGGGUUGGAAAAAUUUGUUCUACCUAUCAUUUAGGCAGGAAAAUAGACAGUUUACAUUGAUCGGUGAAGAAGUGUUUAGAAGGAAAAAAGCGCACACCUUUUUUCUUUUACAAAUGGUAGUUUCUUAUUUUGAAAUUCAGCUUAACAAAAUGUUCAAUCAUAAGCUUUGGAUUAUUAAUUUAGGUUAUUUAUUUAUAAUAUAGAAUAUUUUAUUUAUUAAAAUCCAGCAUACCAAUAUGUUUGUUGUUUACUGAAUAUAGAACACUUACUUAUCCCCGAACAAAAUUUUUUUGAUUUGGAGUAGUUAUGAACUUAUGAGUUUGAAAAUUAAGUCCUAUAGAUUGUUGAGAUUGAAGCACAAAGGAAAUUCUCUUUUAUUAUUAAACAAACUUGUACAAUUAAUUUUAUCACAACACUAUCUUGAUUAAUCUCUCUCCCACACCACUUGUAUAUGUGUGCCUCUCUUUCUCUAUCUCUCUUCACACACCCCUUCCUGCACUCUUUCCUUUCUUUGUUUCUCUUAUUCACUCACUUCACCAUGCACCAUCCCCUAUUUAUUGCGGUAUAAGUUGGUGGUGACAAUUCUAGAUCCCUCUAGCUUUAGUAAUAAGAUAAUAUUACAAAUGGCUCCUAGAAUCUUCUAGCAUAUAGGCUGUAAAACUGCAUGUGGGUAAAUUAGUGGCGCACUAACUAGAAAAUUCUAGAUUUUAAAGUCGGUAAUGAUCUUCAAUUCUCUCCUUCAGCAUCGACUUUUCAUUUUUACUCUUUUCUUUUUCGUCACGUCGAGUUUUGCUUCAGAUUCGAUCAAUUUCAAAUCACUUGAUCCUUUAUUCAAUACAUUGGCGACUUCAAAUAUAUCUUACUCUUUCAGGCUUUCAUCUUUAUCGAUUUUCAAAUUAGGAUAAUUGAUACUUGAUUUCUCGUGUCUAUUCGACUUCUAUAUUUGUGAUUGUAAAUUUGUACGUACCUCGAUUUCUUGUUGUCUUUAUCGAUCCUUCACUAUUAUUCCUACACCUUUUUGUUCAGGACUCUGUAUUGCCCUUAUAAAUUCUUCUUUAACAUUUGAUACAUGUAGAUCUUUAGAUUCUUAGGACUUUGUGUUACCUUUAGAUGUUCAUGUUCAUUGAUUGACUCUAUCGCAUCCAUUUCCUUUGAAUCUAGCAAUUCCAUUCUCUAUAGUGUCUGCCAAGAAUAAGCUUCUUCAAACAUUUCCUUUAAGUUUGGUAGUUCUUCUCUCUACGGAGUGCAUCAAGAAGACUCUUCAGGAAUCAAGGUGUCCUCUCUUGAGUCAUUGACCAAAUCAUCUUCUCCCGAGUAAGAGUAAAUUUAACCAAUGCUCACUGAACUUUAAAUUUGGUUACUACUUGCUCACUUAUCUUUCGCGGGUUACUGAAUGUUCACUCAUCUUUUCAUAUAGUUACUCAUCCACCACUCGUCUUUUCAAAUAAUUGGACGACUUUUGCGGCAACUUUACGACAACUUCCGACCACCAAGAAUGUCGAAUUUUGAUACCAUUGGAAAGCUUACGAUAUCCUCUUCAAUUACCUUUCAAAAUCUCCCUAUAACUCCAAGGGAUUCGAUCGAAAAAUUGCCUUAAAAGUCACCCAAAAUUUUUGAAAAUCUGCCCAGAUUUUUCAGAUUUUUUAGGCGACUUUUAAGACAUUUUUUGGCAACUUUCGACUAUCAAAACUGCUGAAUUUUGAUACCAUUGGAAAGCCCACAAUGUCCUCUUCAAUUACCACCCAAAAUUUUCGCAUAACUCCAAGGGAUUCAGUCAAAAUAAACCCACAAAGUCAGCAUCCCGAAAAGGCAAAUAUCUGGACAGAGUUCGGGAUGCUGACUUUGUGGGUUUAUUCCGACCGAAUCCUUUGGAGCUAUGGGGAAAUUUUGGAUGGAAAUUGAAGAGGACAUUGUGGGCUUUGCAAUGGUCUGCAGUUUUGAUGUUUGAAAGUUACCAAAAAAUUGCCUUAAAAGUCGCCCAAAAAAUCUGAAAAUCUGGGCAGAUUUUCAGAAUUUUUGAGCAACUUUUAAGGCAAUUUUUCGAUCGAAUCCCUUGGAGUUAUAGGGAGAUUUUGGAUAGUAAUUGAAGAGGAUAUCGUGGGCUUUCCAACGGUAUCAAAAUUCGACAUUCUUGGUGGUCGGAAGUUGUCAAAAAGUUGCUGUAAAAGUCGCCCAAUUAUUUGAAAAGACGAGUGGUGGAUGAGUAAUUAUAUGGAAAUAUGAGUGAGUAUUCAGUAACCCGUGAAAGAUGAGCGAGCAAGUAGUAACCAAGCUUAGAGUUCAGUGAGCAUUGGUUAAAUUUAUUCCCCGAGUUAUUAGUUUAAUCAUCGUCACAAUCCAUUUGCUCAGGCAAGACUACUACCAAAGCUGAUUCAUCCUUUAAAUUUGAAUUAAAUUUCUUUUCUCGGUCUUGCUCAAUUGUUGCUGUGAUUGCCUUAGCAUCUCAUUCUUCUUCACUAGUGCAUUUAUCCUGUUGGAGGUUGCUACAUUAUCUUCUGCUGACUCCUUUUUAAACCCACAAUCUCUAGCAUAAUGAUCUCGUUUGCCUUAUCUUGUUGGAGGUUGCUACAUUACCUUCUGUUGACUCCUUUGGAUAGCUGAUCUCUCUUACCUUCCUUGUCACAUAACUUUCUUCAUGUUUAUUUUAUUUUUAAUUCUUUAUCAUUCUAUUGAAGGGGUCGACCUCUUCUUUUAUAACUAUAUAGUGCUUCUUCCUCUUCUUUCUUUAUUGAGAGUCCUGGCAUUUGUCUAGUCGAUGCUUGUUGAUUGAUCAGCAAAUUCUCAAAAUUGACCAAUGAAGAUUGCUCUGGUCAACCUUCUAUUGCAGCAAUAAAAUUUCCAAAUUUGGGUUUCAAGCCAUGUAUGAUUAUUCUUCUCAUUCUGGACUCUGAAAUUUUACUUGAAGCAUUUAACUCAGAAACUUUACAAUAGAGAGAUUUAACUUUAUUGAAAUAUUGACUUAAUGUCAAAUUACUUCGAGUAAUCUAGAGCAGCUCAUCCUCCAGAAGCUGCAACCUCAGAUCAUUUUUUCUCGAGAAUAGUAAAGCUAAAGUGUCUCAUGCUUCCUUUAAUGUGGUCUUAUCUCUUAUGUGCUCUAACAAUAUGACUCCAUACAAGUUUGUCAUAUGGUGUACUUAUGAUUAUUGAACUUCCUCACUCCGCCUACCACUUGUAGGUCACCCAUCGUGAUUUGAAUUACCUCCUCGUAAUCAAGUAAGCUUUAUGAAAAUUUCACAAACUCUUUUUGUGUACGAACUCAAGAAACUAAAAAAUCCCUUCCUGACCGUCUCGCUCUGAUACCAAGUUGUUGGGAUUGAAGCACAAAAGAAAUUCCCAUUUAUUACUAAACAAACUUCUACAAUUAAUUUUAUUACAACACUAUCUUGAUUAAUCUCUCAGGGACCACUUGUAUAUGUGCGCCUCUCUUUCUCUCUCUCUCUUCACAUACCUUUUCCUGCACUCUUCACUUUCUUUGUUUCUCUUAUUCACACACUUCACCAUGCAAGAUCUCCUAUUUAUAGAGGUACAAGUUGGUGGUGACAAUUCUAGAUCCCUCUAGCUUUAAUAAUAAGAUUAUAUUACAAAUGGCUCCUAUAAUCUUCUAGCAUAUAGGCUGUAAAACUACAUUUGGGUAAAUUAAUGAUGCACUAACUAGAAAAUUCUAGAUUUUAAAGUCGGUGAUAAUAUUCGUAAAUAUUAAAAUAUUAGUUAUUUUAUUUAUUGGUUUACCAUAUUUAAAAUAAUACUCAAAAUAGGAAAAUAUUUCAUUAAAGGUGUGUUUGAUUGGCAUGAAAAGUGUUACCUAGAAAAGAAAAUGCUUUCCUUGAAAUGAAAUAUGAAUUGUGUUGUUUAUUUCAUAAUUGAUUAUACAAUUAGAGGGUUUACAAUUUAUAGUGUACAAGAGUUGGCAAAUAAGGAAAAAAUCUACUCUCCUAAAAUAAGAAAGAAAUCAAUACUUAUUUUACAUUACUCCAAUUAUGGAAUGUAAAUAUUCUAAAAUCAAUUUGGUUCCUAUCUUUAUUUGAUAGGAUUCAGUUUCCACACUUCCCCUCAAAUUGGAUCAUAGAUGUUAAUCAUGUCUAAUUGCAUAUGAAUCGUUGAAGCUUGGACGAGGUAGUCCCUUAGUAAAGAUAUCUGCAACUUGCUCUUGUGUAGGAAUAUAAGUCAUGCAAAUGGUUCCUUCCUCAACUUUCUCCUUUAUGAAGUGUCUGUCAACUUCUUUAUGUUUGGUACGAUUAUGUUGGACUGGAUUAAGUGAGAUAUUGAUUGCUGCCUUGUUAUCACAAAGCAUUUUGAUGGGAAUUUUGUUUUAACAUGCAAUUCUUCUAGGAGUUUUCUCAACUACAGCCCUUCACAUAUUCCUUGUGCUAUAGCCCUGAAUUUAGCUUCAGCGCUACUUCUGGCAACCACAUUUUGUUUCUUACUCCUCCAAGUUACACGAUUUCCCCACACAUAAGUGCAAUAGCCAGUAGUUGAUCUUCUGUCUUCUAUUGAACCUGCCCAAUCUGCAUAUGUAAAGAUUUCAAUUUCCCUUUUUUCACUUUUCUUAAAAAGCAGUCCCCUUCCUGGGGAUCCCUUUAGGUAUCUCAGUAUCUUAUAGACUGCUUUCAGGUGACUUUCCUUUGGUGAGUGCAUAUGUUGACUUACACGGCUCACUGCAAAUGCAAUAUCAGGUCUAGUGUAUGAUAAGUAUAUUAACUUUUCAACCAGUCUUUGGUAUCCAUCUCUUUCCACUUCCUUCCCAUCUUCUUCAGGUCUUUUUCCUGCUUCGAUAGGUGUAUCACUCGGUUUACAACCUAGCAUCCCUGUUUCUGUUAGGAGAUUAAUGACAUACUUACGUUGUGAAACACUAAUUCCACCCUUUGAUCUCGCCACCUCCAUUCCCAAGAAGUAUCGCAUUUGUCCCAGAUCCUUUACCUCGAAUUCGGUGGCAAGACAUUUCUUUAGUCUUUCAGUUUCAACCACAUUGUCUCCUGUUAGAACAAUAUUAUCAACAUAUACAAUUAAGAUUUUCUUUGUUCCAUCAUUGAAGUGUUGAUAGAACAUAGUAUGAUCCGACUGCCCUUGUCGAUAUCUUUGACCUUUUAACACCUUUGCGAAACUGUCAAACCACGCCCUUGGUGACUGUUUGAGUCCAUAUAGAGACUUCUUAAGUUUGCAUACAUUAUUUCCUUCAUCAGCUCUACUGAACCCAGGUGGUAAAGUCAUGAAAACCUUCUCUUCUAAUUCUCCGUUCAAGAAAGCAUUUUUAAUGUCAAGUUGUUGAAGUGGCCAAUCGAAGUUGGUUGCUAAGGAUAGAAGGACCCGGAUUGUAUUCAAUUUUGCUACUGGUGCAAGCGUUUCUUUGUAGUUGAUGCCAUAUGUUUGUGUGUAUCCUUUUGCAACUAAACGAGCUUUGUACCGUUCUAUUGUUCAAUCAGCUUUGUAUUUCAAAUUGAAGACCCAUUUGUACCCAACUGGUCUCUUUCCUUUUGGUAGGUGUAAUACCUCCCAAGUCUUAUUUUUGUCUAAUGCCCUCACCUCUUCCAAUGCUACUUCCCUCCAUUUAGGACUUCCUAAGGCUUCUCCAAUAUCUUUCGGGAUCUCUGUGCUAUCAAGAUGAGAUGUAAAAGCACGAAAUCUAGUAGAUAAAGCAUUAUAUGACAUAAAUUUUGAGAUAGAAUGAAGAGUACAUGACCGAGUAGGUUUUCUGAGAGCAAUGGGUAAGUCAGGAAUAUCUGAAGCUUCUUGAGGAGCCAUCAUCGGUUCUUAUUCUUUUGGUGCCUCGGAUGUGAUGGUUUCUUUGUACUUUGAUUUUGGCUUUUGUGAGUAAACCAACAAGUCUUCAUUACUUUGUUUUUCGACAUCUCCCCUGGCUGUAAGUUGUGCUUUAUUAAUCUCUGAUGCUCGGACUCUUCGAAAUAGUUGAAGUACCCGUGUCGGACAUGACACGACACGACAUGGGAAUGGGUAUGAGAUAUGUGUCGAAUCCUCCAAAUUUUAAUCGGACACUUCGUUUUUGCUUUUCUUCUUUCUUUCUUUUUUUUCCUUUCAUUUUCUUCUUUCCCGUUUCUAAUUAGUUCUCCACUAAGUCCAAAUUAUAAUCAAGUCCAUUAUUUGCUAUUUUAUAUAAUAUUUAAUAAUGUCUAUAAUUGAAAACUAAACCCCAAAAUCUAUUUUAUUCGUCUCAACACCUUAUUCAAUAUCCAUUUCCUUCUUUGUGAAUAAUAGAUUUUGAUUUAUUCAAAAUGACUUCUUGAAUUAGUAAAAAAAAAUUGAACCUUGAAAGACGUAUCCACGUACCUGUGUUUGAAAAUUGGACUCUUUUUAACCAUGUCGCCGUAUCUUAUAUUUUAGAAAAUAAAAGAUCCGACACCUAGAUAUGUACCCAUACCGGAUACCUGUACCCGAGUCCGAGCAUCAUAGCUAUUAAUAGCAUAUUAGAUGGUGGUAUAGGGUUGUUUGUAAAUGUAGGUUUAGGAGAGAUGAGGUCAAUGUCUAGGAACUGAUCUUCAUGCAAUCUCUCUCUGAAGAGAGGUUUUUUUAAAAUACGGGGUCGUUUCAAAGAAGGUAACAUCAAGACUUACAAAUAUUUUUUUGUGUGGAAGGAUCAUAGCAUUUGUAGCCCUUUUGUGUAGGGGAAUGACCGAUCAGAACACAUUUAACAGCUCGAGGAUCCAAUUUAUCUCGGCGAUGAGAAUGAAUAUGAACGAAGGCAGUACAUCCAAACACCCGUAAGGGUAGGUUGGAGUUGAGGCGAGAGGUAGGAAACAAUGUUUGAAGUUUUUUUAGGGGAGAUUCGAAAUUUAAGGUAAGACUCGGCAUUCUGUUGAUUAGGUAGGUUGAUGUCAGAAUUGCAUCCCCCCAGAACAUUUUUGGCAUAUUAGAAGUGAACAUCAAUGCUCGAGCAACUUCUAGAAUGUGUCUAUUUUUGAGUUCAGCGAUCCCAUUCUGGUGGGGGGGAUCAACGCAAGAGCUUUGAUGAAUUAUUUCAUGUAAUUGGAGAAAAUUACUCAAGGUGGUAUUGAAGUAUUCGGUGCCAUUAUUCGUACGUAAAAUUUGAAUCUGUGUUUGAAAUUGUAUUUGGAUCAUGGAGUAAAAGUUGAUGAAUAUAGAGCAAACAUCCGGUUUAUCUUUUAGUAGGUAUACCUAGCAAAUUUAGGUAUGAUUGUCAAUGAACGUCACAAACCACUUUGCAUGAGUUCGAUUAGGAAUUCGUAAGGGACCCCAUAAGUCGCUAUGUAUCAUAGUAAAUGGCUUGGAAGGUUUGUACGUGGAGGUUGGGAAUGAUGUACGUUGAUGUUUUGCAAAUUCACAUAUUUCGCACUGAAUAUCAAUGGAAUUUUUAUUCAUGAAAAUUGAUGGGAGUACACAUUUUAGGUACUGAAAGUUUGGAUGACCCAUUCUAAAAUGUCAUAACAAAAUAUCACUAUCGCUAGAAACAGAUGUAGAAUUACAAAUAGUAACUUGACUUUGUUUACCCACAUCAACCUCGUCAAAGUAGUAGAGUCCAUCACUUUCCUCAGCACUGCCAAUCGUCUUCCCCGAUGAUAGGUCUUGAAAAACACAGCAAGAUGGAAAAAAUUUAGCAGAACAAUUUGAGGUUUUUGUCAAUUGGCUUAUGGAAAGUAAAUUGCACGACAGCUUUGGAACGUGAAGGACAGGUUCUAGAGUUAUAGAGUCAGAAAUUUUUAUACUCCAUUUCCCUGCAACCGAUGACAGUGAGCCAUCUGCGAUUUUAACUUUCAGAUUUCCAGCACAGGUGGAGUAUGUAGUGAACAAAUGGUAGGAAUCCAUCAUUUAGUCUGAAACUCUUGAGUCAAUAAUCCAAGAAAUUUUAGAUUUAGAUUGUAAAGCGCUCAUAAAAUUACCUCUGUGGGCUAAUGAGCUAGAGAGAUUUUUUGUGGAUGUUUGAUUUGAUGAUUGGAGGCUAAAAAAUAUUUUGUAUAGUUGCUCCAUUUGUUCAGCAUUGAAUGCACCGCUCGACUCGGUCUUUCCCGUUUGGUAAUCAACAGAUGCUUAAUACCCACGAUUUUUAUUAUUUUUUCUUGGCUUCAAAUCACUCGGUUUCCCGUGUAAAUUCCAACAAGUAUUCUCUUUAUGUCUUGACUUUCGACAAUGCUCACACCACGGCCGACCUCGUUGUUUUGGGCCUGGCUCAGAUGUGCCUCCCUUGGAAUAUAAUCCCAUCAUCCAAGUUCCAUCAUUUAAGUUAUUUGGUCCAAUAUUCAAGCCCAUUCCACCGUUCAAAUCAGUCGGCCCAUUAUUGCCAUUAGUUGGCUCAACAAUAGGCCUAUUACCUUCUCUAUUUUUCAACCCAUAUCCAGAUGGCCCAAGUUUGUUGGAGGUCAGUCCCAAUACUUCCACCGCCUGCGCAUUGGACUCAUUCAACAUGACCUUCCACCGGUCUUCUUCUCUUCUCACCUCCGAAAACACUUCUCGUGGAGAGGGAAGGGGACGUUGGCCAAGUGUUCGGCCGCGAACAUCAUCUAGAUUGCGAUGAAGUUCAGCAAGAAACUCACACACCCUUUCAGUUUCCAAUUUCUUUGAAUACCGCACGCUAUCUUCUGCACACUUCCAUUCUUCCUCAGUACUCAUGUCGAAUUCUUGCCAUAAUCUGGUAAUUUCCAGGUAAUAGUCCAUCACAUCUCGAUUUCCUUGCUUUGUUUGCCAUAGCUUCGACUUGAUUUCGAAAAUUCUGGAAAAAUUCUCAGAGUCAGUACAUUUCUUUAACUGCUUCCCAAACCUCUUUUGCAGAUGGGAGAAAUAAAUAUGUUUUUCCAAUGUUCGGCUUCAUGGAAUUGACAAGCCAGGUAGUCACCAUCGAGUUCUCCGACUUCCACUUCUGAUGGAGAGCCAUGUUGGUUGAGGUCGGCACCUUGGUUUUUCCAGUUAAGUAUGCAAGUUUUCCUUUUCCGUCGAUUAUUAGCUUUAUCAACUAUGCCCAUUCUCUAUAGUUCUUCCCAUUCAGUUUCUCAAUCGAGAGUUGAAAGGCUGAGUUUUCAAUUCCCCCUAUGUUCAUGGCAAACGUGGCUUGUACAUUUGAGUCAGAAGUCAUGGAGCUCUUGUCGUGAGGAGCUGAUUUGACCAUGUAUUGACUGGGUUAAAACCAACUUGGCUCUGAUACCAUAAUGAAAUAUGAAUUAUACUAUUUAUUUCAUAAUUGAUUAUACAAUGAGAGGGUUUACAAUUUAUAGUGUACAAGAGUUGGUAAAUAAGGAAAAAAUCUACUCUCCUAAAAUAAGAAAGAAAUCAAUAUUUAUUCUACAUUACACCAAUUAUGGAAUGUAAAUAUUCUAAAAUCAAUUUGGUUCCUAUCUUUAUUUGAUAGGAUCUGGUUUCCAAACCUUGUUUUGAAGAAAACAAAAACCUAUCUUCCUCCAAAGAAAAUGUUUUCCUUAAAAACAAGGAAAACGAAGCAUAUUUGCAGAAGUUGGAAAAUAUCUUUCAUGGAAAAAAGGACAAUCAAACGCUCUAAAAGUUAGAAUUUGGGAGAAAAAAGGCCAUUUUCCAUGGAAAAUUUUCCAAUCACACACCCUAAGUCUAGAUUCAUAAUGCUCCAGACUUGACUUCUACGUUUUACCACGGCAUACGCCAUUUAGAACCAUUAGUUAUAAAGACAUUGAUGUAUGAGUGGAUUAGAAUAUUUUAAUAAUGUAGUACGCUUUUUUUUUUUUUUUCUUAUACACUAAUUUUAAAAAGGAAAAAUACUCGCUAACUCCAAACAAAAUCAACCAAAAGAUUAAUGGAUUUUAGUGGAUUAUAUAGCACGGCCAUACUUUCAUCUUGCAUGUCUCCCAUAUGUGGGAGAUGGUCCCACAAUUAUUUUCUUGUCUUAUUGUGUGAUUUAUUGCCGUAUUGGGUCUCUACCACAGAAGGCGACAAUCCUCAACCAAUGCUCUAUUUGAACUUUCAAUCACGUCCGCCCCUUUUAUUUAGUAGAAAAAUAGUUUCCAUGAAACCUGUUUCCAAGAAAACAUUUACAUGUCCUAAAGAUAAGUGUCAAGCCUCGAAAUAUAGGCCAAAGCUUGGCUCCAAUACGGCCUAUAAAACUUGCUAUCCAUUUCCCUUGGUCAUCUCUAACGAUUCCAACAAUAUUCCUUGAGGCCAUGGAUUUCCAAUAUUGUUCUUCUAGUAAACCUUUUUAAAUGAGUAUUUACUCGAAAUGCACUAUCAGCACUCAACGGCAGAAAUAGUCGAAUUCUUCAUUAAAAUAGUGAUCUUUAAUAGCAAUUCGAAUGGUUAUUGUAAUUAACUACUACACUGUAAUUAAUGUUUGAAGAGCGAAAGAGCUACUUGUACUUUACUAACUAUUUACUCAACUGGAGUUAGAUGUGUGGACUAAUCGAGAAAUUGUCCUUGCAAGAUAAAUUCUAUUGUCUAUGUUAUCUUUGGAUAUUUGACAUGAGUCUUAGAUGGAUGGCAUUUGUAACAUGUUUGAAAUGUUGAUAUUUCUAUGUUAUAAUGUGAUGUUGAACCUUUUUAUCGAGAAAUUUACUUAAAUUCUAUUUAAUAAUUGUGGGAUUAUGAAAUUACAGAUACGCGAUAUUGGGUGGAAAAUAACAUAUCAUAAGAACAAAGUAGAGGUAGAGGAAAGCAAGAACGAAUUGCUCGAAAUGUUGAAGGCCUUGGAAGGAGCACUAGGAGAUAAGCCUUAUUUUGGAGGGGAAAACUUUGGAUAUGUUGAUAUUUCUCUUAUUGGAUACUACAUGAUAUUUUAUACCUAUGAGACCUGUGCGAAUUUCAGUAUAGAGGCUGAGUGCCCCAAGCUAAUUGCAUGGGUAAAGAGGUGCUUGGAGAGGAAGACCGUUUCCAAGUCUCUUGGUGAUCCCAAAAUUGUCUAUGAAAUAGCUGUCGAGUGGAAAAAGAGGCUUGGUUUAGAGUAGUGAGGAAUUGUGUUAUGUUUGCGAAUAAACACGAAUGCAUUUGAAAUAGCGGAGAAUUUUACGUCCUAUAUAAACGACAUAAUGCUCGUUCACAAGAGUGUCUGAAUCGUGUUGCGUUGCGUUGUGUUGUGUAAUGUCUUGUUGACGAUUUUUAAUGUGUUUUUAAUAAAGAAAGCGUCAAGUUGUGUUUGUAUCUUAGGUAGUCCUUUUGUUUUCCUUAAGAGUUUUGAUAAGGUGGGUUAGACAUGCUAAGUUAGUUUUCUAAUUUUUCAGAAAAUUGAAAACGUCACCUUUGACCACCUUCAAAAUGGUCUAUCCUUUUGUUUGAGUUGUAAGUUAAUCCUCAAUUUAUAGAAAGCGAGCGAGUUGAUUCUUGCACUCCUUGAAAUGGUGCAUAAACACUAACCAGUCUCCAUGGACAGUUUCUUUCUAAUUUUUUGUAUUCUUGUUUUCAAUAGCAAAGAAGAAAAGGAAAUUAGAAUUUAUUUUUCUUUUUUCCCUUUCCUUUUUACUUAUUUGUUGUUAAAACUAUUUUUUACCUAUUUUAGUUUGAAAAUAGUGCAUUACAUAUGCCUUAAUAGAUUUUUUAUUAUAAUAAGGG
rnacentral:lncRNA from 1 species